CAGCUUUUCAAACCAUUAUAGGAUUGCUUUAAAUAAGUCUGAAGACGUUUGCUCUGGACAGCAUUAAUGUACCAUCUGAGAUUCCUGCCAGGAGAAGACUGUCGGGGCUGUCAAAGCAAGCAACAGGAGAUUCUCAACAGAAAAUUAUUAUUUUUAGGUAGGGGGCAGAGUAACAGCAUGGAGUAUUUUGAAAUCAACACUUGAGCAUUUGGAGAACUGGAGAAAGGAAACAAAAUAAUUUUGGUGUGUAAGCUGUCGCCUGGGAGUGGAACAAGAUUCUGUCUUAUAAACAACAGUCACUGCCAGAGCCCCACGGCGAACCCAAGCCAGGGAACUCUGGCUCUGUUACAAAAAUCUCUCUUCAGGCUGGUCAGUGAUUACUGAGGAGCAGAUUGUCAUCCUGAGCAAGUCUGUGUGACAGAACAGGGUGGAGUGGCCGCACAGGCUCGCCUCUGGGGAAUGCCUCUCCCUGCCUUCUUUGUAGGAGGAACACUGAUGAACAAGAACAUGCCCAGAGGAAGACAACCAGUAAUUAUGAUGGGUCUAGAAACCAUGCUGUACGAAGAAAAGCUGAAGAAACUGGGAUUGUUUAUCCUGAAGAAGAAAGAAGAUUGCCUGAUAGCUGUCUUCAAUUAAAGAGAUUAUGCAGGGGUUCUUAA